rnacentral:rRNA from 1 species
UACGUAGGGGGCAAGCGUUGUCCGGAUUUAUUGGGCGUAAAGAGCUCGUAGGCGGUUCGGUAAGUCGGGUGUGAAACCUCCAGGCUCAACCUGGAGAUGCCACCUGAUACUGCUGUGACUCGAGUCCGGUAGGGGAGCGUGGAAUUCCUGGUGUAGCGGUGAAAUGCGCAGAUAUCAGGAGGAACACCAGCGGCGAAGGCGGCGCUCUGGGCCGGAACUGACGCUGAGGAGCGAAAGCGUGGGUAGCAAACAGG